rnacentral:snRNA from 1 species
AUACCUUUCUCGGCCUUUUGGCUAAGAUCAAGUGUAGUAUCUGUUCUUAUCAGUUUAAUAUCUGAUAUGUGGGCCAUUGGCUCACACGAUAUUAAAUUUAUUUUUUGAGGGGGAGGUCCCAGUCACAAUAGCUUGCUAUGUCUAAAGCUAUGAGUAUUUAAAAUGAGGAGACUUACAUUUG